GUGAUCCUCAAUGGCCGACUAAAAGCGGAAGCAUCAAAUCAACUUUUGAUUUCUUAGUCAUUUUAUCAUGUAAUAGAUUAAAAAUACGACAGAAUGGGUGUCUGGCGUAAGGUUGAAAACAGCCCCAAAUAUGGAGUUGUUAUAUACCACUUCAAGAUGAAAGGGGGUAACAUUCUACCAUUGGUGGUUGGAGACACAGUUGUUAUAAGAGAAGAGUCAGAUGAUUGGUUUAUGGGAUAUGCCACAAAGAACAAGUCUAUGGUUGGAAUUUUCCCUAAAAACUAUGUUUAUCUGAAGGAAGCUACAAUAGUGCAGUCAGGGUCAAUAGAAACAAUUAUACCAAAGGAGCCUUCUAUAGCACAGGAAAUUACAUCUGUUGUUAGAGAAUGGUGUAUAUACUGGAAGAACCAAUAUGUGGAAGAUGAUCCAGAUUUUAACAAAGUACAGGACAUGAUCCAUGACUUACUGAUAUGGAGAAAAGAAAUCACAUCACGAAAAAUCACAGCAGAACAGCUCAAAGACCUCAAACAGAAAGUGUCUGCUAAAAUUGAUCUGGGCAAUGCAUUGCUUGGUUUAGAUCUGGUUGUACGAGAUGAAGAGGGAAAUAUUCUCAACCCUGAAGGUGCCAGUGUUGUGCGCAUCUACAGAGAACAUGUAGAUGUUGCUGACAGACUGAAACGGGAAAUGCAAGGAGACAAGGAUGCCCCUGUAGAAAAUAAAGCUUCUGUAGGGGCUACAUACAACCUGUAUGUGAUGUUACACAACUUUGUCUGCCGAGUAGAUGACUGUGAAAUUCUCAUCAACCUGUAUGAUGCCAAAGAUAUGAAAUAUAUUUGUGAGAAUUACAUAGUGAAAUGGGACAAGGAAAGACUUCAUAAAGAUCCAGAUUUCCUCAGCAGUAUCAGAGUUGUUUUUACAGAUUUAGAUGCCAAAGAUAGACAGAGAGAGAAAGUUUUCAUUGUCUUCCAAAUUGUUCGCUGUGGUGUGAUGGACUUUAAAGAUGUGGAUGAUAAAAAACAGACCCGUGGUUUACGGCGACCAUUUGGUGCUGCAGCAAUGGAUAUAACAGAGAAAUUACAGGGUACGGUAUCAAACACGUCAAUGACUGAUGAGCAAGAAGAGUUUAUACCAUUCCUGCAAUGUGGUGACAAGGAGUUUAUGGACAGUUGUGUACGUAAGACUGUGACAGGUAAAGAAAUCAACCAUCGUGGACAGGGAUUGUUUGUCUCUCUCAAACUGCUGAAAGGUGACAUAAAACAGAUCAGAGAAGAUUUUCCACAUCUUGUACAGCCGAGUACUACAGUGGUUAGGAAAAUGGGCUUCCCUGAUGUCAUACUGCCAGGUGAUGUACGUAAUGAUAUCUACGUAACAAUCCUGGAGGGAGAGUUCAACCGAGGGUCAAAAACAGCAGAUAAGAAUGUAGAGGUCAGCAUGUUGGUGUGCAAUAAACAAGGAGAAGUUCUCAAGGGAGUGAUAAACCCAGGUUGUGGAAAUGAUGGUAGCUCAGAGUGUAAAACUCUUAUAUACUAUCAUGAAGACAAGCCAAAAUGGUUGGAAAUUGUCAAGGUUGCUGUUUCCACGGAGUCUGAGUUUAAAGGCCUUCAUUUGAAAUUCCUCUUCAAACACAAGUCAAGGAAUGAAACAAAAGACAAGAAUGAGAAACCAUUUGCUAUGGCCUUUGUGAAGUUACUCAACAAGAAUGGUACAACACUGAAGGAUGAGGAGCAUGAUCUACUCCUCUAUAAGAUUGAUUAUAAGAAGGAAGACAAGAUGCAUCAAGCUUACCUUGACCUUCCGUCAACCUUGAAGGAACUCGAAGCCAGCAAUAUCCCCGGUUCUGGACAUUUCGGACCUAGUGGUGCUGGGACCCAUUCACGUCUUCCAAAAAUACCUCUGUUUAAUGGACCAUAUUCUUUGAGUUACAAGGAUAGUUUUAAAAUUGCCACCUAUGUGUGUUCAACAAAGCUCACCCACAAUGUUGAUCUGCUAGGUUGCCUUAAAUGGCAGAAGAUACUAAAUGAGAAUGAUACAGCCUCGUUAAAGAAGCACUUGACAUGUUUAAUGCGAGUAGAUGGUGAAGAGAUUGUGAAGUUUUUACAAGAUUUGUUGGACUCUCUAUUCUACAUACUGAUGCAGAACACAGUCUCUGAUCUCUAUGAUAAUCUAGUCUUUGAUGCCUUGGUGUACAUCAUAGGUCUUGUGGCGGAUAGUAGAUACUACCAGUUCAGACCAAUUUUAGAUGCAUACAUAAACUCCUUCAGUAUAACAACAGCUUACAAUAAGUUGAUGUGUAUACUGAAGGAGUAUGUGGACAAUGCCAAUGAAGAUACUGACCAUGAACCUUCAUUCAGACAGGCCAUGAAAUCUCUGGAAUACAUUUUCAAAUUCAUCAUUCGUUCUCGGGAACUCUUUGCUAUGCUAAAUGAGAACCGAGGGAAGCAGCAGUUUGAAAUCAUGUUGAAGCAGCUGAUACAGUCUAUAGGUGGCAUGAUGCUGUAUACCUCAGACAGAACCGUCAGAGCUCAGGGAUAUGCCUUACGGAACAUGCCAGCUACAAUCUCUGACAUACUCAAGGUUUUCAAUGCUGUGGAACUUAGUCAGCUGUUUGUUGAAUUCUUGAACCAUGUGCCAAAGCAGCGUCUGAAGAUUCAGAAGAUAAAGUGUAUCGAGGAUCUCGUGCAGACCGAGUUGUUUGCAAAACGAGAGUGUCGGGAGGUGCUGCUUCCCAUGAUGCUUUGCCAUAUACGUGACAUGAUGGAGGCACAAGAUGAAAUGUCCGCAUGUAUAAAAGUGCUCAGCAGUAUAAUGGACCAUUUGUUUAAUCCAAGCAAACUGUUGUCACAUGACAAAGAUGUGAGCAUGAUCAUGGAGAUUAUUUUACGGACUGUGAUACAAACUACAAUUAAAACACAUGCUGUAAGUUAUGUUUUUGAACAUGGAAGAUUUGUCAUAAUACAGGGCGACUGUGUGGCGGUAUUGUUGAAUAUUUUACGGCAAAUGACGGAGGCCCACUACGUGAGUUACAUCAGCCGCUACACCCUCCUGACAGACCUUGAGGAUUUCCUCCUGGAAAUUAUGAUGCUGUUCCGAAACCUUAUCACAUCUAGCGUGUACCAACUUGACUGGAUGGAAAUGAUCAUGUUGCAAAACAGCAUCAUCCUGCGUGCCUUGCGAUGUUUUGCUCAUACAAUUUGUGAAAAGUUUUCAAAUCCAUUCCAGUAUCAGUUGUGGAACAACUUCUUUCAUUGUGCAAUAUCGUUCCUGACCCAGGAUCACCUACAGCUGGAGAAUUUCUCGGCAAGUAAACGAAACAAGAUAAUCUCCAAGUACAAAGAUAUGAGGCGAGAGAUGGGUUUUGAAAUCAGGUCAAUGUGGAAAGGUUUAGGUACAAACAAGAUAUCAUUUAUCCCAGAGAUGGUGGGUCCAUUGUUAGAGAUGACUCUUAUACCUGAAACAGAGCUGAGGAAAGCAACAAUUCCAAUUUUCUUUGACAUGAUGGUCUGUGAAUUUAACCAGCCCCAGCCUGCACAUAAAGGCAUCCGAGGAAACUUUAAAGAAGUUGAGAAUGAAAUGAUAAACCAGAUGGAUGUAUUGGUGGAGGGAGGACGAGGGGAUGAGCAGUACAUGCAACUCUUUAAAGACACGUUAUUGAACUUGUGCAAUGGCUCAGAUCUGAUCCGUAAGCAGGGCUUGGAGUUUGUUGAAAUGAUUACAAAGUUGCUGCAGCGGCUUCUGGAGUACCGACACAUUAUUCAAGAUGAGAUAAAAGAUCACCGCAUGAGUUGUAUUGUAAAUCUGUUGGAUUUCUACAAUGAGAUAGGACGACAGGAGAUGUAUGUUAGAUAUCUACACAAACUACACAAUAUGCACUUGGAUUGUGACAACUUUACCGAGGCAGCUCAUACACUUAUUUUAUAUGCAAAGUUACUCAAUUGGUCAGAUGAUCGUUUAUCAACCAUUCUACAAUCAGAACGGUUUCCUGAGGCAACAACACACAGAGAACUCAAGGAAAUGUUGUAUCAUCAUAUCAUACAGUACUUUGAGAAAGGAAAGAUGUGGGAGAAGGGUAUAGAUCUGUGUAAAGAGAUUUCAGGCCUGUAUGAGAAUGAGUUGUUUGACUUUGAAAAACUCAGCUGGAUUCUGAGACGUCAAGCAGCUUUGUUUGAGAGUAUUAUGAAGGAAAUGAGGCCGGACCCAGAGUACUUCAGAGUCGGAUACUUCGGCAGGGGAUUCCCCUCUUUCUUACAGAACAAAGUGUUUAUAUACAGAGGGAAAGAGUACGAGAGAUUGCAGGAUUUCAAUGGUAGAAUGCAGACUUUGUUCCCGAACUCGGAGUUGAUGAAAACUUUGUCAGCCCCAUCAGACGACAUAAAAGAAUCUCCAAAACAAUAUCUACAGAUAAAUGCUGUAACCCCGGUGAUGGAAAUGCAUCAGAAAUUUCUCAAUAAACAAGUCAGUGAAAAAAUACUCAAGUAUUACCAGAUGAAUGAGGUUCAGUUGUUUACAUAUUCUCGGAGAAUUGAUGAAGGAGGAAGCAAUAUUGCUAAUAUCUGGCAAGAGAAAACAAACAUGACAACAGCCUCUCCUCUACCUGGUAUACUGUGCUGGUUCCCAGUCACUCAAACCAUUGUGUAUAAAGUGAGUCCCAUUGAGACGGCAAUAGAAACUCUGGACUCUUCCAACAAGAAACUGAGCUCUGCAAUAGAACAUCAGCUUACCGAACCAAAAGCAAGGCUCGAUCAACUUGGUAUGUUGCUGAAGGGUAUAGUAGAUGCUGCAGUGAUGGGUGGAAUCUCCAAUUGGAAACAUUUCUACAAUGACGACUUUGCUGAAAAUGACAAAGAUAGAGACUUUGUAAAACAACUCAAGGAACACACUAAAACACAGGCUGUUUUGAUAAAGGAUGGUAUGUGGGUAUUUAAACGUAAAUGUCCAGAAGUACAGAAACCUUUCCAUGCCUAUCUGGAGGAGAAACAUCUAGAAUGGCUACAGAUGGUUGAAACAGAGUACAACAUCAAGGUAAAGGAGAAAGUGUCUGGCACAAGUACAUUGAAGCGAUUCCAGUCUUUGUCAGUGGUCAGUCUGGAUAGACUUAGUAGUAUGUACCCACCUAAUUCUCCACAGGGAGCUGCUUGGCCUCGCGCACCUGACACAGCUGUAGGAGGUAGUUUGACUAAUGUCAGUUCUUCACCUGCCAUUACGGUAUCACCAAGUCCCAACAAGGCACAAGGAACGCGCAUCCAGUCUGUGUGGGUCAAAGCAGAGAAGGGAGAUAAAUCUACACCAAUAAAAGGACUUCAGACCAAGGUCAACAAAAAAUUAACAAAUAAACGUGCAUCUCAGGUCAGCAAUGCAAGUAGUUCGGAUUCACCAGACUCAUCGAACAGAAACUCACUUGACAACCCAAUAGAACUGAAUGAGCAGGAAAAAACUAAUGGAGAGAUCACACCGAGACGUCCACCAAGGCCGGAGAGUGACAAGGAGCGUCGGAACAGCCAGCGACUGAGUGCCCAGUUCACCCACAUGGGUCACCUACCAGGUGCUGGCUCAGGCAUGAUAUCACUACCUAAUGCAACUGCUUCAUUUAUAUCAUAUACUUCCACAGAAAACUGUGACUCUGGAGAAGAUGAUGGGCCCCCACCACUACCAGAGAAACAUUCAGGAGACAACAGUAAAAUGAGCUUUGAUCCUCCACCCCUGCCGUCUCGUCAGUCUCUCACCCCAGCAAAGACUCCACGCAAGUCUAAGUAUGUAUAGAUUGGAAAUGGAAUGUACACAUUUGAUAUCAAUUUCCAAGACAGCUGAGAGAUUAAGAAAGAAGAUUGUAUGUCAUCUGUGAAGGCGUCUCACUCUGUGGAACUCGACUCUGCCCCUCUUGACUCUGCCCCACCCUUGUUACCAGAGAAACUCACUCCAAGCCGGUCUUUUGAUGGGGAAAGUUUGUGAUAUGUUGAGAUGAAAUUGUAAUAUUUAUACAUUGUAUUGCUAUGGGUUAACUUGAAAUGCUGGCAUUUCACUGAAAUAACACUGUCUAAAUAAAAUUAUAUAUGUUUUUGCCUUAUUUGAAAAAUCCCAAUAAUGAAGAGACAUUCAUUGUUUCAGCUUAGUAUAUAAUAAUAGUCUCAUUCUUGGGCAAUAGUAUAUAUGUAGUGUUUAAUGUUUGAACAAACAAUGCACAAUUCUGUGUAAAGAAUAAAUUAUACAAUACAUUGUACUUCAUUUUUGUAUCGACAAAGUGCAUUUUGUAUCGACACUUUUAUUUCACAAAAGUAUAGACAUUUUUUCUGUUUAUAUAAUAGCUAUUGAUUAAUGUAUCAUUAUUCAAGUUUUAAUUGACAAAAACUGCACUAUUUAUAGGUUUUCUUGAAGUUUUUUUUUUUUUUGCGCAGAGACAACACUCUUAUUUUGCAAUUUGAAAACUUGUGAUCAGAUGUUAGUUGUUGAAUGAAAUUAAAAUAUGCUACAAAUGAAUUGUGUAAGAUCAUGUGACCAAAUCAUGACCAGAUCUUCAUUGUUGAACAUGACAUUUUACAAAGGAAGAAAAUUCAUUGACUACAGAAUAUACCUCUGUGACUACUGCGAAAAUCAUUUAGUAUCAUGCACAUGGAAUUUCUUGGUUUUAGCCAAAGUGGCUGUUUUGCAGGGAUAUUUAUUUGUGGAUUUUGACUUUUUAACGUAAACUGAACGGAAUUGGGAUUUAAUUUUGUGUAUUAACUCAGCCGUGAACUCCAUGUAAAUUAGCAAAUGAUUUUACAUUUUU
rnacentral:misc_RNA from 1 species